rnacentral:tRNA from 1 species
GGUAAGAUGGCUGAGUUGAGGCGGUAAAUUGUAAAUUUAUUUACGAAAAAUGAUUUUCUCUUAUCA